CCUACGGGAGGCAGCAGUGAGGAAUAUUGGUCAAUGGCCGGAAGCCUGAACCAGCCAAGCCGCGUGAAGGAGGACGGCCCAAAGCGUCGCAGACCGCUUUUACACGGGGACAAAACGCCUUACUCGUCCGGUCUUGCGUGUACCCGGAGAAAAAGCAUCGGCUAACUCCGUGCCAGCAACCGCGGUAAUACGGAAGGUGCGAGCGUUAUCCGGAUUGAUUGGGUUUAAAGGGGGCGCAGGCCGCCCGUUAAGCGUGCGGUGAAAUGGCCGGGCUCAACCCCGGCCGUGCAGCGCGAACUGGCGGCCUUGAGUGCGCCGGAGGCAUGCGGAAUGCGUCGUGUAGCGGUGAAAUGCAUAGAUAUGGCGAAGAACCCCGAUUGCGAAGGCAGCGUGCGGCAGCGGAACUGACGCUGAGGCACGAAAGCGCGGGGAUCGAACAGGAUUAGAUACCCGAGUAGUC
rnacentral:rRNA from 1 species